UGGGUAACCUGCCUCAAAGAGGGGAAUAGCCUCCCGAAAGGGAGAUUAAUACCGCAUAAUAUGUUUAGGUCGCAUGACUUUAACAUCAAAGGAUUUUCUUUUAGAAAUUCCACUUUGAGAUGGACCCCGCGGCGCAUUAGCUAGUUGGUGAGGUAACGGCUCACCAAGGCAACGAUGCGUAGCCGACCUGAGGGGUNAUCGGCCACAUUGGAGCUGAGACACGGUCCAGACUCCGUAGGAGG
rnacentral:rRNA from 1 species